ACCGUCCUUAUCUUGGGUUGCGAGCUUGUUCAAUGAGCGUAUAGUGAGAGCAAGACUGCUGACGCAAGCAUAAAACAAAACUUACGCAUCGCUCGUCCUAACGGAUGGGUCUGGAUGCAAUUUCUGGAACC